UGUGUACGAUGGGGAUGCGUUCCAUUAGGUAGUAGGCGGGGUAACGGCCCACCUAGCCAACGAUGGAUAGGGGUUCUGAGAGGAAGGUCCCCCACAUUGGAACUGAGACACGGUCCAAACUCCUACGGGAGGCAGCAGCGAGGAAUAUUGGUCAAUGGACGAGAGUCUGAACCAGCCAAGUAGCGUGAAGGAUGAAGGUCCUACGGAUUGUAAACUUCUUUUAUAAGGGAAUAAACCCUCCCACGUGUGGGAGCUUGUAUGUACCUUAUGAAUAAGCAUCGGCUAACUCCGUGCCAGCAGCCGCGGUAAUACGGAGGAUGCGAGCGUUAUCCGGAUUUAUUGGGUUUAAAGGGAGCGCAGACGGGUCGUUAAGUCAGCUGUGAAAGUUUGGGGCUCAACCUUAAAAUUGCAGUUGAUACUGGCGUCCUUGAGUGCGGUUGAGGUGUGCGGAGUUCGUGGUGUAGCGGUGAAAUGCUUAGAUAUCACGAAGAACUCCGAUUGCGAAGGCAGCACACUAAUCCGUAACUGACGUUCAUGCUCGAAAGUGUGGGUAUCAAACAGGAUUAGAUACCCUGGUAGUCCACACGGUAAACGAUGGAUACUCGCUGUUGGCGAUAUACUGUCAGCGGCUUAGCGAAAGCGUUAAGUAUCCCACCUGGGGAGUACGCCGGCAACGGUGCAACUCAAAGGAAUUGACGGA
rnacentral:rRNA from 1 species